CCUCCGGACAACGCUGCACGCGAUUUACCGUUCUCCGUAGUCCGCCGUCCUGAGAUUCCAACUAACCAACUAAAACUAACCAAACCAAACAACAACGAAACUGAAACUGAACUUUUUGCUUGCGAUCCCGUUGCCGAUACUAACGGCAGUCGCGCACACACCCAUGCGCGCACGCACACAGACGGGUGAGCUCCCACAUAGACACACACAUACAUAUGGACCGCUACGAUCGUUAGGCGGACGAUCGCUCCUCGGGCACGGAACACCACGGAACACUGCUCUAACCUGGUAGAUUGCGGCGGAGAGGCGAUGGCGAUGCCUUCUGGGGUGCACAUGUGUUCUGCACACACACACGGACUUCGGAUUCGGGCAGAGACAGAGACUACGUCGAAAGAGGAGAGGGAGGAGGAGGAGGAGGCAGUGGUGGUGGCGGUGGCGGUCGCAGCGGCAGAGGAGCAAGGCGGAGACAGCAGAUCCAUCCGAUCAGAGCAAGCAUGAUUCCAACGAUGCCCACGAUCCGAAGAGGGAAGCAGUUACUCCGAUUCCGAUUCCGAUUCCUACUCUACAGAUCACGCACACUACCGUGUGCCUGUGUUCGGGUUUGGAUUUGGAUUCGGUUCUAUUCGAUUCGACUCGGCUCGACUCGACCCGACUCGAUACGAUUCGGAUGCGGAUGGAAUGGUAGGAGAUGGUAUGGUAUGGCAUAGGACGGAGGUGAACCUAUGUGGAUCUAUGAAGGGCCAAAUGGGAAAAGUCGUAGCCUAAAAAUAGAUACGAGUAUGUUGUGCAGUAUGGCGGGCAUGGGCACCCCAAGUGGAAGUGGAUGUGGAUG
ensembl:ncRNA lncRNA:CR44889 long non-coding RNA:CR44889